GUUGGUAAGGUAACGGCUUACCAAGGCGACGAUCAGUAGCCGACCUGAGAGGGUGAUCGGCCACAUUGGAACUGAGACACGGUCCAAACUCCUACGGGAGGCAGCAGUGGGGAAUAUUGCACAAUGGGCGAAAGCCUGAUGCAGCAACGCCGCGCGAGUGAUGAAGGCCUUCGGGUCGUAAAACUCUGUCCUCAAGGAAGAUAAUGACGGUACUUGAGGAGGAAGCCCCGGCUAACUACGUGCCAGCAGCCGCGGUAAUACGUAGGGGGCUAGCGUUAUCCGGA
rnacentral:rRNA from 1 species